CUCCGGCAGCGCGUGCGCCCGUCCUGCAUGAUCAAGUGAUUGUUACCCUUGCAUGCAGUUACAACGUCUUGUCCGUCCUGCUCCAUGCGUAGAAAAAUGACUUGCUGGUGCUGCAAAGUAAUAUGAAUGAAGACCAAAUCUUUAUCUUCCGAGCUGGUGGUGGUGGUGCUGCUGGCACUUGUGCCCUUGCCAGGCCCACAAGUCCCUCGACCGCCCUGCCAUAGAGACAGGUCGUCCGUCGUGCGCAAUAUCAUCACCAAAAAAUGGACGCCCAUCCUAGAGAGGUACGGUCUCAAACUGCCGAUAGAGUGUCCCUUCCACCCUGCCAGGGAGGUUUACUGGCCGAGACAAGGGUCGAAAAUCAAACACAGGGCGACGCAGUGGAGCUGUGGUCUGUGUGGAAAGUCUUUCUAUUCGGAGAAGUUCCUUGAAAUGCACUUUGAGAACAGACACUCGGAGCACCUCAACAUUGUGAGUGUGGCCGAAGAUGCCAUCUGCCUGGCAGACUAUUGCGACAUCAUGCGUUGCACCGUGUGGGAGCAUGGAAUCAAAGGGUCAUCGACCUCCAACACUGACCUGGAGUUGUGGGGCCGUGAUUCUGCGAAUACCGCCGCGCUCGUCGUGUCCAAAACGGCCUUGCAGCCGGUCCAGCAACAAAAAGCCAAAAGAGGUGAAAUCGUGCUAACGCCAACAAGUGCUCCAAAGGCAGGGAAACAUCCCGAGGUGAAAGUGAAUAAGUCACACCACAAAACAGUGAACACUCAAAACUGCAACAACUCCAGAUCAAAGCGAUCAGCAGACACCGCAGGUGCCGAUUGUACUAGAAUUAAUGCCCAAGACGAGCAAAUGAAACGAUUCAAGGCUGACUGCAGACCAGACCUCCUGCAGGAGUUGAGGGACCAAUGCGAGACUCUGGUUUGGAACUGCAUAGCAGGUCUGCUCGCCAACCUCACCACCGAGGAGUUCAAAACCAUCGAAGCUGACAUGAAUCGAGCAGUUUGUUGGUACUUGACGUGCGACAGGUACUGGGAAAACUCAGCGCACGAACGACGUAAAUUCCCGUGGGCUUUGCUGCUUGUGUUGGUCACUGCCCUCGCCCUGGUCAUUUGCUUCUGCUAUUAUCUUAUUUGGCUUCUGUGCGAUUGGCAAUACCGAGGGAACAAAGGUUCCAUGUCGGAGCCGUCGUCGCCGCUACUGCAGCAUCAGCAGGCGCAAAUGGGCCAUCAGCACCACCAUUUGCAUCAUCAGCAAGCAAUCCCGAUGCCAUAUCACGGGGAUGAGUUCUCGAUGGAGGGCGAGCCAUAUUACGUGGCCGAGAACCAAGGCGAGCAUUAUAUCUACGUAACCUAUCCACCUGAGUUAAAGAGGCGCCUCAUGGAGAGGUUAGAGACUACUCACACCACAUGAAACUAUGUCUAUCCAAUUACAGAGCACCCAUUCAACCGCGCACCUCAAUCUGUCUAGCUCUCUCAUUAACUCCUCCAGUCAUGCUGCUACAAUCGUACGUCACGUAUAUGAUUAUGUGUUUGAUGAUGAGGACUGACUGGAUUGAUGAGUGGUGCAGAAAAUUUGCACUUUCACGCGUGUUUUGCACAAACUAAAUUGGUAGGCGCGGAUUCCGACGGCACGGCCAAAUCUUUUGAGACUCAUUCUCGCACAAAAGGCAACCGGAGACAAAAUCGAAGGUGUUAUUUGAAAAUUUGAUUCAUACACGUGCACUCGUGCUAUAUCUGCGGUUUAAAUUACUACAUUUUUGCAACUUUCAUACAGAUUUUAUUGUUAAAAGCAGGACCCACGCUUUUCACGACAAUUAGUUUUCCUUGACUUAACGCCGAAUGUUUUUGCAUUCAAGCAAAACCAUUUUUAAAAUCAGCUUUUGCUGAACAUUUCGAUAGAUUUUUGCAUUUAAAAUUCGCACACCAAGAAAUAAUGUUAUUUUCACGCGGUGGGUCCGACAUGAUACAAAUUCCAAUCGCAAUCAAUGUCCUUUUUAGCCGUCGUUAGAUCAACGCACUGUUUAAAACGCGUCAAUUGUAAAUAAACUAAAACGAAAGGGUUUAAAAAUGAAUUGAUAAAAUGCAGAAAACACUUUUAUGUAAUAAAACUAACUGACGAGAGGUUGUGAAUUGAAUUUUUCUAAACUCGCUUUGAGACUUCAGCUUUUCUAUAAUCUUGAGAUCUGUCGAAUCAAAAAUCGUGCAUUUGUUUCCCUAUGAAAUACGAAUUAAUAAUGGUAAAAAUCGUUUCAGCGAUUAAAUAAUUGAUAAAAAUAAAGAGAUAUUUGGAAAAUACUCUUACCACGAGCACGUUAAAUAAUGCCUGUUCUGAAUCUUUUUGAAUGUAGUGAAGAUGCUGUGUAGAUGGAUUUAAAAGCUGUAAGAUAAAUUAUUGCCAUAAAUAAGCAACAGUUUAGAAUCGAUGCAACAAUUUUAAUUAUAAUUAUUUGCUUAACGACUGUUUGAGGAGAAGCAAACGUUCACACAUCAAAAAUAAAAAUGCCAAAUCUUUUGUAAA